UACGUAGGCAGCGAGCGUUGUUCGGAGUUACUGGGCGUAAAGAGUGCGUAGGCGGUUUUCUAAGUUUGGUGUGAAAUUUCCCGGCUUAACUGGGAGGGUGCGCCGAAGACUGGAAGGCUUGAGUAUGGGAGAGGUAAGCGGAAUUCCGGGUGUAGUGGUGAAAUGCGUAGAGAUCCGGAGGAACACCAGAGGCGAAGGCGGCAACCUGGCUCGUAACUGACGCUCAUACACGACAGCAUGGGGAGCGAACGGG
rnacentral:rRNA from 1 species